AAACAGCCCCCGAAAACGCUACGUGAGCUGGGCCCUGGGCCAGAGGCAGAAAACGGACGGAAGAAAAGGUCUGGCCGGUAUCUAUGUUCCAAUCUUCAGCACUGUAUUAAAGAGAACAACUUGGAAAUGAGCUUAGGAUCCACAGGUCCUGGGAAAUAGCUUAGGACCCAUAGAUAAAGUUGGUGAAGAUAUUUCAAACGAAGUAUCUUCAAAGGAAUACUUCAAAGAAAAUAUAGCCCUUAUAUUAAGUAUAACUGUCAAUCGUAUUUUUAUGGUUAAUAGAUAAUAAAAACAAUUUAUUGUUAGAAAAUACAGAAAAAGUUAAAUAAUUAAAAUUGUACUUGCCUUUUCUUAAAGUAUCCAUGAGGAAAUAGUGUCAGGACUUACUUCCGUUCUAUUUCUUCAUCUCUUAGUCUUCUUUUCUUACUUCUGAAGAUUAGUUUUAGUAUUAGGAGCUGGUCAGUGGUCUCUGUUCUUGAGAAUAUUUGCCCUUUUGUGACUUCACCUUGUAACUUGCUUCUGAACUUGCAUAAAUAAUUCCUACAGGGAGGCCAGUCUGAAAGAGAGAGACCAUUCACCAAACAAAUGUGUAAUUCACUACCACAAUCCUGACUUCAGGACACUGUGACCCUCAACUUGUGUUAAGCUGAAACACAGUGGCAGGAUUCCUGUUAAAUUGGUACAUUUUCCAUUUGUGAAGUCAUCCUGAAGUUCUUGAUAGUCUUCGGCAUACCCCACAGUAGGAGUCUGAGAAUCUGAUCUCAGACUCCUAAAGAACUAUUCUGAAGUAAUAAGGACAAUUUAUACUUUAACAUUUCACAAAACAUCUCAGAUUGGAGAGCUAAAAAUGUUUUAUUCUCUUCACUGAAGCUUUCGGGAAUAUAUGCUCCAUUGAAGCAAUUAGACAAAUUUGCUUUUCUGUCCAGAAAGGAAGACCAGUGGGACAUGUCUAAGAAAACUUCUAACAUCUGCAUUUCCCUUAGACUUUGAGUACACCUGCAGGGAUGGGGGCAGACUUGUUUCAUUUCAGGAAAAGAAGAAUGAUCAUCAAAGGCAAAUGGCAGUUGCUAUGCAGCAACACCAAGAACUGGCUUCACGCUCCAGAGAAAAUGCUGUGCCUCCUCCUGGUGGUUUCCGGUGCUCCACAUGUUCAAAGAAAUUACCCGGAAAUGUAGAAAUGAUCCCUGAAAGUAUAGUCUUCCAGUAAUGUUUCUUUUAGCAAAAGGAUCCAAUCUAAGAUCUCAUGUGUUUUAGUUUUCUUCAAUGUGGAAAAGUUCCUCAGUCUUUGCUUGACUUCCAUGACUUUGAUAUUUUGAAGGGUACAUGGUAGUUAUUUUAUAAAAUGAUCCGAAUUUCUCAAUUUGAAAUUAUUCAAUAUUUCCUUAUGAUUAGAUAGAGGUUACACAUCUUUGGCAGAAAUGUCACAGAAAUAAGCCUGUGUCCUCUUUGCAUUGUAUGGGGAAGACACAUGUCAGUUUGGCCCAUUACAAAUGAUGUGAACUUUGAUCACUUGGUUAAGGUUUUUCCACUGAAAAGUAUUCUUCUUUCUCAUUGUAAUUAAUAAGUAUUUUAUAGGGCUAUGAGAUGUAAGUAUCCCAUUCCUCAUUAAACUUGCCACACUUGUUUUAGUGUGGCAGCCCAUUGAU
ensembl:lncRNA ZSCAN16-AS1 ZSCAN16 antisense RNA 1